rnacentral:rRNA from 1 species
AACGAACGCUGGCGGCAUGCCUAACACAUGCAAGUCGAACGAGACCUUCGGGUCUAGUGGCGCACGGGUGCGUAACGCGUGGGAACCUGCCCUUAGGUUCGGCAUAACUCCCCGAAAGGGGUGCUAAUACCGGAUAAUGUCUUCGGACCAAAGAUUUAUCGCCUUUGGAUGGGCCCGCGUUGGAUUAGCUAGUUGGUAGGGUAAAAGCCUACCAAGGCGACGAUCCAUAGCUGGUCUGAGAGGAUGAUCAGCCACACUGGGACUGAGACACGGCCCAGACUCCUACGGGAGGCAGCAGUGGGGAAUAUUGGACAACGGGCGAAAGCCUGAUCCAGCAAUGCCGCGUGAGUGAUGAAGGCCUUAGGGUUGUAAAGCUCUUUUACCCGGGAUGAUAAUGACAGUACCGGGAGAAUAAGCGCCGGCUAACUCCGUG